AUUUCCUCCCUGAUGUUCUUCCAUGGAAGGACCCUGAGGUUCACAGGGCACUAUGCCAUCUUGAACAGCAGGAUUUCUCCAGUCCCUGUGCAGGGGACAGUGUGUCAUUCUGGGACCCUCAAUGAGGAAAGGCAUCUAAGAGAUCUCUCAAGGACUAGUAUUUUUCAAAAUGUGAUCCAACAACCCUCCAUCCACAGGGGGCUCAUUAGAAAUGCAGGUUCUGAGAUCUAUUCCAAAAUUACCAAAUCAGAAAUGGAGCAGAAAUAUGAAAAUUUAAUGGGUUUCCUAGGAGAUUUUAAAGCACACUAAAGCCUGAGAGCCACUGCCCUGGGCUGCCUGGACUUCAUCUCUCCUCACCAUUUUCAUUCCUGGGAAUGAGAUGAUAUGGUCUUUGACUAGAGUUAGAUAGGUAGAUAGAUAGAUCUUACAUUUAAAUAAUAUCUAUCUACUAAUUCAGUCAGCUUUUAUUGAAGGCUUUCUAUUACUAGGCACCAUAAUGGAAUUAAUAAAGGUAGAACACCUACCAUAUUCUAUACUGAUUGCUUUCAUAAAUUAACUCCUUUGAUCCUUACAACUUUAUAGUUACUACUGUUAUAUUCAUUCAACGGAGGAGCAAACCAAAGCACAGAGAGAUUAAGAAAAAUUUUCAAGAUUAGAGAGCCUGUAAAUGGCACAGAGUUUGAACCCAGGUAGUCAGCUCCAGAACCCAUGAGCUUAACUACUAUAUGAUAUACUCUUCUCAAAGCUGGAGAGGAAUAAGACUUGGUUAUUGCAGCAACCCUCCCAGCCCCAACCGCAGGAGCUCACAGUCUCAGCAGGAAUCCAGACUUCAGACAUAUACAUAGGUCAUUACAUAUGCUUGUUAAUUGCUAUGAUAAUGUAUGAACAGAAUGCUAUGAGAAUUAGGAGGAAAUUAUUAACUGCCAACGGUGUCAAGAAAGGCUUCCAGAAAAAUAUAUGGCUCAGUGAGAACAGGAUUUCUGUCUCUUUAGCUUCUUCUAGCACAGUAUUUUACAAAUAUUAGGUGCUCAAAAUAAAUAUGUUGAAUGAGUGAAUUAAUGAAUGAGAUGAUUCAUUGCAGCUGGUAUUGAAGAAUCGGGAGGAGAUUUUGUGACAAGUAAGAGGGAGAAGCAUGCACACAGCCUGGAGGAGUAAAUGGCUACAAAUAAUUUGUUUUGGCAAAAGACAUUAAAUGUGACAGGAGCAAAGGUGCCUGGGAGAGGGGUGAUGGGACUGAUGUGAGGAGCAGGGACAAAGAGGAGGCUGAGAGUGAAAGAUCUUCUGCUCUGUGCGAAAGAAUUUAGAUUAGUUCUCUGGGCAGCCUCCUCAGGCAGGGGAGUGACAUUAUCAGAUUUCUCUGAUGGGAAGACACCUCUGGGGGCCAGUGUGGAAGGCAUAAAGUGGAUUAGUGUGAAGGAAGUCUGGCAGGAGGAAGGCCAGCUAGGAAGAUUGAAGGAGUAAGAGCAAGAGAUUUGGAAGGUCUGAGCUACCGCACAGGCCAACAGGAAUAGAAAAGGAGGACCCAUUAGAGACACUUGUUUGAGGCAGGAGAGGCAGGAUUCAAGUGAGCAGCGAGUGUCCAGAUUAGACUUUAUUUUCUAACACAAAUGGCAAUGGCAUUAACUGAAAUAAGGACUCCAAGAAAGGGAAGUAUGAGGUGGAGAGAGUUAAAGAGCUCAGUUUUAAACAGGUUAGGUUGCAGUCACCUGUCAGUCCUUCCAGGGAAGAGAAAUUCCCAGCAGGCAUUUAUUAAGAUGAAUGAACAGCAAGUUUUCAAAUGGGGACAUGGUGUUUGGUAUCAUCAGCAUCAGGGAGGGAGGUGAAGCCAUGGGAGCAGAGAACAUCCCUCAGGAAAAGUGCAUAAAGGGAGAAGAGAGAGGACUAAGAAUGUAUUCAUGAAAAGUAGCCUUUAGCGGGGAUUUGUUGUAUGUUGGCUUGUGCCUCCUGCUAUGGAAUAGGACUUGGAAUACCUUGAGAACAGGAAAUAUGAUUUAUAUUUCUUUUGAAUACUAAAACCACAGCCCUGGAAACACAAUAGAUAAUUCUCCUUGAACUGAAUUAAAAUGGAAAGGGAUAUAAGAAUUAGAGACCACCCCUUGAAGCUUGGAAAAGGUAAUUUGAGGGUAAAAAUAAUGAAAGGAAAAGAAAACAAAAUGUAAUCUUAAAUUAUCAGGUAGCAAGUUUACAGAAGUUCUUACCCACAAAGGCAAUAUAAACAGCAAAUACAUAGUUCCCAACCUUUUUAUUUGGAUUCUUUCUGGCCAUGGAAAUCUUUUGGAACCCACAUGUACAAGCUUUAUCUAUAUCUAUAUCUAGCUAUCAAUCAUCUGAAUAUUCUGUGUAGGGAUUAGAUAUAUCUAAUAUUGAUGUAGAGAUAAAUGGGUAGAUCAUAGAUACAUACAGAUAAGUAAAAUACCCUUUUACUUGCAAAAGUCAAAUUUUGUAUAAGAGAUACUUAUCAGUUAUUUCUAAUGAUUUUCAUGCAUACUCCAUGAGCAUGUUAUUCUUGCCAGUGAACUGACAAGAAUGGUGGUGGGGAGAGGUAACAUUUAAGUGGGUCAGAAGGCUGAUGGCAUUUUGCCAAAGUCCCAUGACGUUCCAUAAUGAAAAUUAUUCUCCUACUGUAGCACUCGCUGUUCCUCCACAGACCACCAGUGGUGAGACACAGGAUGAUAAACAUUGCCUUAUAUGCUUUAUGUGAUUUCACAGGCAAAGCUCCAAGAUGCUAUAUCAGGAUGUUUGAGGAAGCUCUUAACUUUGGACAUGAGAACAUCAAGUAGGACAGCCCCUUUCUCCUACCAGGUGUCACUUCCUAUUAGAAAGGAAGCUUGUGCAUCAUAGGUCUGACCCAUUCUGACAUGCAUCUUUACUACUGGAGUUUUGAAACUUCACUGCAUUCUCCGAAUGUCAGCAUUGAGAAACCUACAAAACACAGAAUGUUUAUCAAUCUCUUCUUGUAGUGUCUGCCUUUCUGGCACUUCCUUCCUCUGCUGAAUCAUCUCAGCACUGCCAGGGAAACAAUUUGAACCCUUUUGCCUUCUGAGUCUGCCUUGACUGCCUGAAUGAGACAUGGCUGGGGACUUUAAAACCACUGCAGUUACUGAGUCCACCACCCCUGCAAGUGAGACACAAGGCCAAAAGAACAUCGAGUUUAGGAUUCUGCUGUGUUUUGUUUUUAUUGCUUCAUAAUACUAAAGUUCCAUCUCAGAGAUGAAACAUUGUAUAAAGAGACCUAGGUUUGCUUUCACUGGUAAUUUGCUUUUCCUCCCCAACAAAACAGAUGGAAUUGUUGUUGUUGUUAUUUAAUCUUAGUACUUCUGGAUGAACCAUGACCAUUCUUUACUUCCUCUGGUCAAACUUAAGGUGGCUUUCAGAAAUUGGUUAAUAUGUCCUCAGAUUACCUCUGUGAUCUGAAAAGUAUCCUUGUUUUUCUAGUUGGAAAAAAUGAAGCAUGAAAGGCUUAGGCAAUCGCCUUAUCCUGUCAAGGAUGGAAGCAUGAGUGGUCACUGGGGAACUGACUUCCUCCUCAGUGUCUUGGAGGGAGCUCUUGCCUUCUAGUUGGAGGGCAGUAAACGGGUGCUAUCCAGGGGCAGCCAUCCCAACAAUGAGAGUUAGCCUCCCUCUCAAGGAGGGAGACCACAGCCCUGCAACUCCCCGCAGAGAUGCCUCUUCCCUGGCUGACAGUUAAAGCAAGUGACCUUCAGCGAAACCAUGGAAAGUCCAAGUGACUAAUUUCAUGAACCUCUGGUGUGUGAGGGGCGGAGGAGGAGGAGGAGGCUGCCUGGGCACAGGGCCAGCAUGAGCCAUCUCCAGUCCUUGCAGGGGGUUGAGGAGAAGAUGAGAGCAGAAGGGGUCAGAAGAAAACAGGCUCCUCUGUGUGGUUGGGGGAGAGAGUCUGACCAUGUGGACAGAUGGAAGCCCUGGGUUACGGAGGCGAAGCAUGUUAGCAAACCAGGAGCAUUUCCUGUCUGCAGACAGGCAGAGGGCCAAUUCUUCCAUGAGCUGGAAAUAGGAACCAGUGGGGGGCGGUCAGCACAACACUUUUCCUCUGUGGGUUUUACGUAGUGAAGUAAAGAAGCUUGUUAUGUCAGUGAUCCUGGGAGCUUGUUUAUGUGCUGUGUUUUCUUUUAUGUUUCCUCUUGUAAUACUUGAUGGUUCCCAAUCCACAGAGGCCA
rnacentral:lncRNA from 1 species